rnacentral:rRNA from 1 species
GUAAUACGGAGGGUGCAAGCGUUAUCCGGAUUCACUGGGUUUAAAGGGUGCGUAGGCGGGCUGUUAAGUCAGUGGUGAAAUCUUUGGGCUUAACCCGAAAACUGCCAUUGAUACUAUCAGUCUUGAAUAUUGUGGAGGUCUGCGGAAUAUGUCAUGUAGCGGUGAAAUGCUUAGAUAUGACAUAGAACACCAAUUGCGAAGGCAGCAGGCUACGCAUAUAUUGACGCUGAGGCACGAAAGCGUGGGGAUCAAACAGGAUUAGAUACCCUGGUAGUCCACG